GACGAACGCUGGCGGCGCGCCUAACACAUACAAGUCGAACGAGCGAGAGAGAGCUUGCUUUCUCGAGCGAGUGGCGAACGGGUGAGUAACGCGUGAGGAACCUGCCUCAAAGAGGGGGACAACAGUUGGAAACGACUGCUAAUACCGCAUAAGCCCACGACCCGGCAUCGGGUAGAGGGAAAAGGAGCAAUCCGCUUUGAGAUGGCCUCGCGUCCGAUUAGCUAGUUGGUGAGGUAACGGCCCACCAAGGCGACGAUCGGUAGCCGGACUGAGAGGUUGAACGGCCACAUUGGGACUGAGACACGGCCCAGACUCCUACGGGAGGCAGCAGUGGGGAAUAUUGCACAAUGGGGGAAACCCUGAUGCAGCGACGCCGCGUGGAGGAAGAAGGUCUUCGGAUUGUAAACUCCUGUUGUUGAGGAAGAUAAUGACGGUACUCAACAAGGAAGUGACGGCUAACUACGUG
rnacentral:rRNA from 1 species